GUGUAUAGGUGGGUAGAGAGACGGAGGUAGAAGGAAAAGGACGCUGUAAACUGGUGGUGGGUCGCGGUGCAGAGGUGGCCGUCGGCUGCACGUGGUGGUCUGAAGGAGGGCCUGGAGGCGGUAUCAGGGUCAGACCGGAGCGCGCGUGUCCGGCCGGCGGUCGGUCCUCGGGUAUGUCUCGGUCGGCGCGACGUUGUUGCGGCGGCGGGCAUGCGGCGGAGGGUGUGGUUGGUGCGGGCUCGUUCCUCGAGGGGAGCUGGGGCCGGGGACGUCGAGGAGGAGCCGAGGGGCAGGCCGUUGGCCGCGGCAGUGGCCGAUCGGGGACGUUGAGCUCGGCCUCGUAGUGUGGGCGCGGUACUUAGAGGUUGGGACUACGGGUUCGAGGGCGGCGACAAGACACCUGGCUCAAUAAGCGAGUUCCCUUUGGUAGACUUUUUCUGUUGUUCUCUCUCUGCGGUUACUUGUUCAACUAAGAUAGUACGGUAACCCUCUCCGCGGGUUCCUUUUCCAUCACACGUACGAUCAGAAGAGUACCACAUGGCCAAACACCCUCUCGAUUCUCAAGCACGACCCCGUGACGAAUGGAACAUGAUGGAUGCUACACUUAUGUCACGUUGCACUAUAACUAUAGCUUUAUCUCGCUUGUACCACCAGGUGGCUCAUAACCGCACACAGUGAGGUACGGCGGCUCAUAACCGCGCACAGUGAGAUACACGUGGCAGUGUAACCAGAUGAGUACUAAUACGUCCAGAGCCUCCCUUUCAUACUGUGUUGAGGGCUCUUUGGGCGGGCACACAACGUUGCCCGUAUAAGCUCACUAAGUUGUAGUACCAAACAUUGUAUAUCGGAACAGCUGAAAGAACAUGGCAAUAUCGGAAUUAAAGGAACAGGAGGAGGAAAGGUGAGCGUUAGGGUGGAACUCAGGAGCUGGACGUGAAGGUUUGUGCACCGGUAACGUUAAACCAAUAUAAAGUGUGGAGGGGGGAGAGGGGGGAGGUCAUUUGUAUAGAAGAUAAACGUGGUAGCGAUCAGAAAACAAGAUUAGACCUAGAAAGUUUUAUUCAGAAAACCAGACCUUAAUUGUAACAUCUCGUCUUAUGGUUUAAUUAAAUCCACUUGUCUACGUUGUGUAAGUUAUAAUAAGCUUACACUACACAAUAAACGAGUAGGUGAGGAUAUCCGAAGAAGGUUUUAUAUACACGUAAAAAAGUCAAUCCAAACUUUACUGCUGUGAAGAUAAGUACAUAAUAUUGUACAUGAAAAAUAAGUCUUUUACACGAUAGAAUCAUCAAACAUGAUGAAUGUAGAUCAUAACUGUGAACUUGUGGAGUAGGGAUGGUUUAUUGUACGUCCUUUUAAUCACAUGGCAUUUAAUUCCCCAAACAUCUUAAAAAAACAGUUGUUAGUCUAAAGGACAAAUUUAUCUUUUCGUUAAGAGUGCAUUUUAAUGUUAACGAAAUGUAUACAUCGUAAGUAGUGAGAAAA
rnacentral:rRNA from 1 species